rnacentral:rRNA from 1 species
UUAAGCGACUAAGCGUACACGGUGGAUGCCCUGGCAGUCAGAGGCGAUGAAGGACGUGCUAAUCUGCGAUAAGCGUCGGUAAGGUGAUAUGAACCGUUAUAACCGGCGAUUUCCGAAUGGGGAAACCCAGUGUGUUUCGACACACUAUCAUUAACUGAAUCCAUAGGUUAAUGAGGCGAACCGGGGGAACUGAAACAUCUAAGUACCCCGAGGAAAAGAAAUCAACCGAGAUUCCCCCAGUAGCGGCGAGCGAACGGGGAGGAGCCCAGAGCCUGAAUCAGUGUGUGUGUUAGUGGAAGCGUCUGGAAAGGCGCGCGAUACAGGGUGACAGCCCCGUACACAAAAAUGCACAUGCUGUGAGCUCGAUGAGUAGGGCGGGACACGUGGUAUCCUGUCUGAAUAUGGGGGGACCAUCCUCCAAGGCUAAAUACUCCUGACUGACCGAUAGUGAACCAGUACCGUGAGGGAAAGGCGAAAAGAACCCCGGCGAGGGGAGUGAAAAAGAACCUGAAACCGUGUACGUACAAGCAGUGGGAGCACAGAGCAAUCUGUGUGACUGCGUACCUUUUGUAUAAUGGGUCAGCGACUUAUAUUCUGUAGCAAGGUUAACCGAAUAGGGGAGCCGAAGGGAAACCGAGUCUUAACUGGGCGUUAAGUUGCAGGGUAUAGACCCGAAACCCGGUGAUCUAGCCAUGGGCAGGUUGAAGGUUGGGUAACACUAACUGGAGGACCGAACCGACUAAUGUUGAAAAAUUAGCGGAUGACUUGUGGCUGGGGGUGAAAGGCCAAUCAAACCGGGAGAUAGCUGGUUCUCCCCGAAAGCUAUUUAGGUAGCGCCUCGUGAAUUCAUCUCCGGGGGUAGAGCACUGUUUCGGCAAGGGGGUCAUCCCGACUUACCAACCCGAUGCAAACUGCGAAUACCGGAGAAUGUUAUCACGGGAGACACACGGCGGGUGCUAACGUCCGUCGUGAAGAGGGAAACAACCCAGACCGCCAGCUAAGGUCCCAAAGUCAUGGUUAAGUGGGAAACGAUGUGGGAAGGCCCAGACAGCCAGGAUGUUGGCUUAGAAGCAGCCAUCAUUUAAAGAAAGCGUAAUAGCUCACUGGUCGAGUCGGCCUGCGCGGAAGAUGUAACGGGGCUAAACCAUGCACCGAAGCUGCGGCAGCGACACUGUGUGUUGUUGGGUAGGGGAGCGUUCUGUAAGCCUGUGAAGGUGUGCUGUGAGGCAUGCUGGAGGUAUCAGAAGUGCGAAUGCUGACAUAAGUAACGAUAAAGCGGGUGAAAAGCCCGCUCGCCGGAAGACCAAGGGUUCCUGUCCAACGUUAAUCGGGGCAGGGUGAGUCGACCCCUAAGGCGAGGCCGAAAGGCGUAGUCGAUGGGAAACAGGUUAAUAUUCCUGUACUUGGUGUUACUGCGAAGGGGGGGACGGAGAAGGCUAUGUUGGCCGGGCGACGGUUGUCCCGGUUUAAGCGUGUAGGCUGGUUUUCCAGGCAAAUCCGGAAAAUCAAGGCUGAGGCGUGAUGACGAGGCACUACGGUGCUGAAGCAACAAAUGCCCUGCUUCCAGGAAAAGCCUCUAAGCAUCAGGUAACAUCAAAUCGUACCCCAAACCGACACAGGUGGUCAGGUAGAGAAUACCAAGGCGCUUGAGAGAACUCGGGUGAAGGAACUAGGCAAAAUGGUGCCGUAACUUCGGGAGAAGGCACGCUGAUAUGUAGGUGAAGUCCCUCGCGGAUGGAGCUGAAAUCAGUCGAAGAUACCAGCUGGCUGCAACUGUUUAUUAAAAACACAGCACUGUGCAAACACGAAAGUGGACGUAUACGGUGUGACGCCUGCCCGGUGCCGGAAGGUUAAUUGAUGGGGUCAGCGCAAGCGAAGCUCUUGAUCGAAGCCCCGGUAAACGGCGGCCGUAACUAUAACGGUCCUAAGGUAGCGAAAUUCCUUGUCGGGUAAGUUCCGACCUGCACGAAUGGCGUAAUGAUGGCCAGGCUGUCUCCACCCGAGACUCAGUGAAAUUGAACUCGCUGUGAAGAUGCAGUGUACCCGCGGCAAGACGGAAAGACCCCGUGAACCUUUACUAUAGCUUGACACUGAACAUUGAGCCUUGAUGUGUAGGAUAGGUGGGAGGCUUUGAAGUGUGGACGCCAGUCUGCAUGGAGCCGACCUUGAAAUACCACCCUUUAAUGUUUGAUGUUCUAACGUGGACCCGUGAUCCGGGUUGCGGACAGUGUCUGGUGGGUAGUUUGACUGGGGCGGUCUCCUCCUAAAGAGUAACGGAGGAGCACGAAGGUUGGCUAAUCCUGGUCGGACAUCAGGAGGUUAGUGCAAUGGCAUAAGCCAGCUUGACUGCGAGCGUGACGGCGCGAGCAGGUGCGAAAGCAGGUCAUAGUGAUCCGGUGGUUCUGAAUGGAAGGGCCAUCGCUCAACGGAUAAAAGGUACUCCGGGGAUAACAGGCUGAUACCGCCCAAGAGUUCAUAUCGACGGCGGUGUUUGGCACCUCGAUGUCGGCUCAUCACAUCCUGGGGCUGAAGUAGGUCCCAAGGGUAUGGCUGUUCGCCAUUUAAAGUGGUACGCGAGCUGGGUUUAGAACGUCGUGAGACAGUUCGGUCCCUAUCUGCCGUGGGCGCUGGAGAACUGAGGGGGGCUGCUCCUAGUACGAGAGGACCGGAGUGGACGCAUCACUGGUGUUCGGGUUGUCAUGCCAAUGGCACUGCCCGGUAGCUAAAUGCGGAAGAGAUAAGUGCUGAAAGCAUCUAAGCACGAAACUUGCCCCGAGAUGAGUUCUCCCUGACCCUUUAAGGGUCCUGAAGGAACGUUGAAGACGACGACGUUGAUAGGCCGGGUGUGUAAGCGCAGCGAUGCGUUGAGCUAACCGGUACUAAUGAACCGUGAGGCUUAACCU